NNNNGCGAUCAUACCAGCACUAAAGCACCGGAUCCCAUCAGAACUCCGAAGUUAAGCGUGCUUGGGCGAGAGUAGUACUAGGAUGGGUGACCUCCUGGGAAGUCCUCGUGUUGCAUUCC
rnacentral:rRNA from 1 species